rnacentral:rRNA from 1 species
AGUGAACGCUGGCGGUAGGCCUAACACAUGCAAGUCGAACGGCAGCACAGUAAGAGCUUGCUCUUACGGGUGGCGAGUGGCGGACGGGUGAGGAAUACAUCUGAAUCUACUUUUUCGUGGGGGAUAACGUAGGGAAACUUACGCUAAUACCGCAUACGACCUACGGGUGAAAGCAGGGGAUCUUCGGACCUUGCGCGAUUGAAUGAGCCGAUGUCGGAUUAGCUAGUUGGCGGGGUAAAGGCCCACCAAGGCAACGAUCCGUAGCUGGUCUGAGAGGAUGAUCAGCCACACUGGAACUGAGACACGGUCCAGACUCCUACGGGAGGCAGCAGUGGGGAAUAUUGGACAAUGGGCGCAAGCCUGAUGCAGCCAUACCGCGUGGGUGAAGAAGGCCUUCGGGUUGUAAAGCCCUUUUGUUGGGAAAGAAAAGCAGCAGGUUAAUACCCCGCUGUUCUGACGGUACCCAAAGAAUAAGCACCGGCUAACUUCGUG